rnacentral:misc_RNA from 1 species
UCGCGGCUUAUCACCGGCAGUCUCGCAUGAGUCCCCAACUAAAUGCUGGCAACAUGCGACAGGGGUUCGCUCGUUGCGGGACUUAACCCAACAUCUCGCGACACGAGCUGACGACAGCCAUGCACCACCUGUGAUCCUGCCCGUGAGGGAAGCCCUGUUUCCAGGGCGGUCAGGAACAUGUCAAACCCAGGUAAGGUUCUUCGCGUUGCGUCGAAUUAAACCACACGCUCCGCUGCUUGUGCGGGCCCCCGUCAAUUCCUUUGAGUUUUAACCUUGCGGUCGUAGUUCCCAGGCGGAGUGCUUAACGCGUUAGCUUCGGCACGGAGGGGGUCGAUACCCCCCAUACCCAGCACUCAUCGUUUAUGGCGUGGACUAC